rnacentral:lncRNA from 1 species
UGGGAUGAUUUACAAUGGAAUAGAACCCCUUUAUUUAUAGGGAGGUGGUGACUUAGCCACCAGUAGUAAACUCUAGAUUCUCUCUAAAUAUAGACAUUCACCUUAAAUAGGAUUCUAUUUAUAACAGUUCUCGAUUAAAAACACCAUUUUAGCGGCAAAUAAAGAACCAAAAUAUCUUUAAACUGCAAGAAUACUAAUAAAAUACGCUACUUAACUCAUAAAAAUAUAAUAUAUUUCAUUCAAUCUAGAAAAACAAAAGAAAGUAUUAAUUCUUAAUAACGUAUCAACGAAGUGUAAGAUAAAAUCACAUUGUAAAAACAAAAUAACCAGUCUUAUUAUAGCUAAUUCUAUAUAAUAUUCAUAAUAACAAAAGUGUCGAAGCCCUCAAACAAUUCUGCAAAUCUUCCUCGUACUGAAAUCUUUCACAUCAUACUUUUACCCUGAAAUAACAAUAUAAGUGAGAUUUGCAGUAACGGAAAUUACAAAUGCAAUAAGAAUAUUAUGGUGUUAAUCAUAUAUAAGUUAUUAAAAGAAAAUUCAUGAAAAAACAACUAGUUAUACUAAUAACUCUAAGUUAUAUCAAGGAAAAGAAAGAUCUACAUGUCCCAUUCCAAAAUCCUAGCUACUCCUUAAGCUAAGAUUUAAUAAUUCCUUCACUAUGGUUUCACGUUUUUUUUACUAAAAUACUUGCAAGAAAAGUGGAUACGCAAGAAACAUUGUAUUCCAAUCUAAUAUUUUCACAACUGAAAAGUGGUUACGCAAGAAAAGUGGAACAUGUGGCUUUUCAGACUUCCACAACUGAUCGAUUUGCUGCUACAGAUAAUAAGGGAACUGUUAAAGAUGUUCCUAAGGCAGUUGUACGUAGUUCAAACAAAAGCUGGGCAAUAUCUUGAAGAGAAAAUAGCAACAGAAUAAUAGUUUGAAAUACAUACCUACUACCACAAUAUUGUCAAGAAUGUAUACAACAUUGGAAACAACUGUACAAAUGUGUAUUUUGGCUUGAAAUGGCUAACUGCCAGUUAUGAUUUGACUGUUUAUACCAACAACAGUUGGCUGUUGGCCAAAAAAAUUUUAUUGACGGGCUAAGCUUUUGUAUUGUAGUAGCAAGGUAUAACAAUUUCAGUAACAUCUUGUUUACUAAAUUAUGGUUAAACUUGAGUUGCAUCUAAUCUAUCAUUCUUUAUGGCAGAUAUAGCUGAUGCUUCACAACCAAUUAGUACAGAAAUUUCUUAUAUCAUGCAGAAGUUCAAAUAAUAAAAUCCCGAUUCAGCUUUCUUGGAUCAGCAUGAACAAUCAUACAUAUUCUGCAUAUAUGCUCAUGUGCGACGCCGUAGCUAAUCUAACCAACUUCCACCAAAUUCAUAUACUGUGAGGCUUCCCUAAAAAUCAGCAAGACCAAAAUGGGAUGUGGUCGCUCUAAGAAAACCUAAAAUUUUUACUCAGUUCUCCGCAGGGACAAUGUAAAAUGUGGAAGAGUUAAUCCCAUGACAUCUUUAACUAAACUUUCACAGACUCAUAAAAAGAGCUCAGAUUACUAAUGAACACCGCAUGAAGAGUUCACAAAAGUUCAAAUGCUCUAUUGCUACAGAGAGAAACCUAUAUAUAGAUUCCAAGAACUGAUCAACCUUUUUAAGAUCCUCCCUAGCCAAAAGCAUAGAUUACCAAAAAAUAUUUAAAUAUUGUAGGAGAACAAUUUAAAGGUAGAAGACCUUUAAAUGUAAGAAGGAAAGAGAUUUUGU